rnacentral:siRNA from 1 species
UUGAGAUGCUUCAAGGACUCA